AACGAACGCUGGCGGCAUGCCUAACACAUGCAAGUCGAACGAGACCUUCGGGUCUAGUGGCGCACGGGUGCGUAACGCGUGGGAAUCUGCCCUUGGGUUCGGAAUAACAGUUAGAAAUGACUGCUAAUACCGGAUGAUGUCUUCGGACCAAAGAUUUAUCGCCCAAGGAUGAGCCCGCGUAGGAUUAGCUAGUUGGUAGGGUAAAGGCCUACCAAGGCGACGAUCCUUAGCUGGUCUGAGAGGAUGAUCAGCCACACUGGGACUGAGACACGGCCCAGACUCCUACGGGAGGCAGCAGUGGGGAAUAUUGGACAAUGGGCGAAAGCCUGAUCCAGCAAUGCCGCGUGAGUGAUGAAGGCCCUAGGGUUGUAAAGCUCUUUUACCCGGGAUGAUAAUGACAGUACCGGGAGAAUAAGCCCCGGCUAACUCCGUGCCAGCAGCCGCCGUAAAAC
rnacentral:rRNA from 1 species